UUGAGACACAACUCGCAUCUACCGUCGGCGGACGCUCUAACUGCUCGUCGGGCUCCGACGCCGCGAGUUUGUGUACCUCCCCCUCUCCAUGUUUCGGAGGACGCUUUCUCGAGCUUCACCUCUCCUCUCCAAUGGAUUCCUGCGAGAAGGAAGAGGCCCUCGCCGCAGCGUUGCUUCACUUCCUUUCUCAUUCGCUUCUUUCUUCCUCGUUCUCUGACACUUCAAACCCUCCUGUGUUGCCGGAAGAAGAGAGCCGAGAUAACUCCGAAAAUAUCUAACCGGCGGCCUCAAUAUCAGUCGACCGCUCGGGGUUAUACAGUCCUCCAGUUCCAAUUUUAUUCCUUGACCUUCUGAAAUGAAGAGCAUCUACACGAGUCAUCUACGGAUUCCAAUCUCGUUAAGCAUCUAAAGAGUAUUAUAAAGUUCCGUACAUGGAUGCCUUAUUUCUGUUGCUGAGUACAUGGAAGAAGUUUUAACUAAUCCACAAUCAGGUUUUUGCAUCAAUAGAGAUGCUUUUGGAGGAAGGGGAGCUUUGGCGCAACUGUAAAGUUGUUGGCAUGUGACCAAAAGGUCACGAGUUCGAAUCCUGGAAACAACCUCUUGUAAGAAGCAGGGUAAGACUACGUACAAUGGAUUCUUCCCCGGGACCUUGUAUGACCAGAGCUUCGUGCACUGGGUUGCCCUUUUUUUUUUAGAGAUGCUUUUGGAGUUGGGGGUGACUUUAUUACUUCCCCUGCUGUCAGUCAGAUGUUUGGGGAGGUAUUUUUAUGACGAUGACUGAUACAUUUUCAUCUCAAUUUAAAAUUAUUAUUUAGUAAAAAAAACAUGUGAUUAAAGUUUGAUUUUGAAUCAUGGAAAUAGCCUCUUGCAAAAUGCAAGGUAAGACUGAGUACAAUGGAUCCUUCCCCGGGACCCCGUAUGGUGGGAGCUUUGUGCACCGGGCUGCCUUUUUUUUUUAAUUGUUAAGACAUGAGAAUACAUUGAUUAUCUUGUAUAUUCAUGCAAAUAAAACUAAUGUGCUAUAUCAUAUUUAUUAAAUUAAUUUUAUGGGGUUCAAAUAUAGAUACGCUGAUCGAGUUCCCUGUGUUGUACUUACUAAAAGUUUCUUGUUUAAAUCCCCUUAUGUAAACCUGCCAACUCCAUAUUCUGUUGUUGUUUGAGCCUUGCCUAAUCUUACACUGAUCUUUUUGUCAAAAUUAGUUCAUACAUAAUUUAUGUACAUUUAGCAAUAAAAAUCUUCCAACUUCAACCUCUUUUUAUCUACUUUACUUAAUUGUUCUGAGGAAUAUGAAAUGUAUUUAUUGUAAUUGUCAUAGUGGCAUGCCUGCUUUCCUUUAGUAGGUAUACUCCUGACACACCAACUCCUUGCAUCAAUUUAUUUGAUUCUAUUUUUUUUAGAGGAUCACUUGUAAGAUUGUUUAGAUAAUAUAGAGUUAUUGACACAGGGAUCUAUCAUUUCAAUGGUUUGUCGCACAACCUCUCAAUUCGAGUCAGUUGUAGGUGUCGUUGCCCUAGAUCACCAUAAUUGCUAUUGAUGCUUGAUCUUCAGUUAACUACUGACUUUUCAGUAAGGCUGUUCCAUUCUGAUCAGCAUUUUAGAUGCUCUCUUUGGGCACGUUAUUGGUCUCAAAUCUCUGUACCACAGUGCUGGCCCAUUUAUCCCGAGCAGCCUUUAGCACAUUCCAUCAGUUAUAGAAUAGGCAUGAAGGAGGACAUUGCUAACUUCAUCUAUUGCUUAAUGGAUGUAGCUUGAGUAAGACAGAGAAAUAAAUGAUAAUUGGAAGAAAAUGGGAAACAAGAUUAGAAUUUUGCAGAGUGUCAACGUUGGUGUUGCAAGGAUCACAACAAGGUCUUACUUUGAGCUGAGAUGAGCUACCUUCUUUGGGUGUUCCUUUACUUUUGUAUUUGUUUCUCCUGGAAGAAGCCAUGCAUCUGAUAAGUGAUUUAGAAUUUGUGUGCUCCAUCCACCAUGUGUCAUUUAGGAUUGCCAUGUACUGGUUGAAACAUUUCCAGCCAUUUAUCCACUAUUCUCUCUUUUAGUUUGCCCUUUGGCGCAUGGCCAAAAUAUAGUUGCUAGCUUUGAGUAACAACCUUUGUGGCAAUAAUAUAUAUAUUAUACUUCUCUUCAUUUUCAGAAGUAUUUUGUUUCUGCUGAUGGUGGGUGUUUGGACUGUGUAUUUGGGAGCAGAUGGGUCAACCUGGAAUUGUGAAUCUUGUUGAACUGGGCCAGGACAGGGGACCCUACCCUCAUGGCCGAUCUUCUGUGUGUAAGAAAGGAUCUUCAAAGUUUUCAAAUUUUACUAAAGCUCUUAACAUUCACAUGGUGGAUUGCAGUCCUGUCUUACAGGAGGUCCAAUACAAUGCUUUGAAGUGCACGGAUGAAACAACUAAUGACGACAACAGCUCCAAAAGAACGAUCACUAUGUGUCUGGCAGUCCAAUUUCAUGGCAUCCCACUCUGGAACAGGUUCCAUCAGGAUGUAUGAUACUGACCGACUUCAGAUUAAUUAGUGCACAAUAUUGAAUUUUACGUGCUGCAAUUUUCAUUGUUACUUUGAACUGUGGUUAUUCAAAGACACUAUCAAUCUACAUGAUGUUUAAAUCAAUUUUUUUUUUGUAGCAGCAACCUAUUACAUUUACAAGCUACCUCUUCAAAUCUCCUCUUGAAUUGUUUGUACUGCAUGCUAUAUGGUACUGAAUUUCAAAAGUCAAAGAACAUGAUUCUAUAAUUGCUUGGGACAUCACGAGUUUCUUCAUUUCCUUGACUGAAUUUGAUUAGUCCUUGGCUGAUCCUAGUUCAUACACUUUGUAAUUUGAUUUACCUACCUUAUAACAACUUGUAUAAUCUUCCUUUCCAUUAAUUCUUGAACUAGUUAGUGCAGUAUGUGUGCUUUGCAGCAGAUUCAAAACUCAGUGCUUUAACAUUGGUUGGCUUUUUACCUCCUAUUUUUGUAAUCUUCUUUUGUUGAUUUUGUCUAAUUCUUUUAGGGAAGAAAUCCAAGAUAUGAUGGACUUAUCUCUGAUAGUCUGCAGGUCAAAUUUUCUGAUUUUGAAACUGAAAGUAGUUGGCACAUAGACUUGAUUGUUUAGUUGUUUUAAUUGAAUAUCAAAUUCUUGAAUCUGUUUACUUUUGUCGCCUAUGCAGGCAAUUCGUAAGCACGAAUUUGUGGAGAUCGAGUAUCAGUUCAUGGUCCGAUAACCCAGCCCAGUUCUUAGGUUCUCUUGGGAUAAACUUUCGUGUCGAAACCUUCUUUAGAGCUGCACCGAAGAACAAGCAGAAUCUCUGAGAAAUGGUUUUUGGCUCCUUGUAGGAAACGGAGAAGCUCCAUUUUGGGACGGUCCUAAUGAGCUGACAUCCAUCAGUAUGGGAACUCGGUAUCUUGCAAUGGCAAUCGUGAACAAGAAACAAGGCAUACCGAUUCCUUUCGAAUGAAUCAGAUAUGCGCCUACUUGCCACAAAGAUGCCUAGCUUAUUGAAUCAUUCGACUAGAGUGCAAGCAGCUCAAAGGCCAUACGAUCUCUCUUCUCAACUGAGGUUAUGUCUGCUUUGCUGUUUUAUGGCAGAAUAAGUUGUGUUAUUACGUAACAAUGAUAUAAAUUUAUUAUAAUGGUAAGCGCGCGCACUCUCUCUCACACCUUGACAUCUUCCUGUGGGACAUCUGACGUGAGUGAGGACAU